CGUACCAGCAGUGCGUUUGCCUUUAAAUAUUUGCCAAAGGGGGUAAAUGCAUUCUUCUGGUAUCGUC
rnacentral:pre_miRNA from 1 species